UGUAGAAUUUCCAAGUGGCUAAGGGUUUCGGCUCGAAUUCCAAUUGAUGUUAUCAAAUGGAUCCCCCUCGUACAGGUUCGAAUUCUGUUUCUACGA
rnacentral:tRNA from 1 species